rnacentral:rRNA from 1 species
GAUGAACGCUAGCGGCAGGCCUAAUACAUGCAAGUCGAACGGUGUCUUCGGACAUAGUGGCGCACGGGUGCGUAACACGUAUGCAACCUACCUUACAUUGGGGGAUAGCCUUUCGAAAGGGAGAUUAAUACCGCAUAAGACAGUAGCUGGGCAUCCAGCAGCUGUUAAAGAUUUAUCGAUGUAAGCUGGGCAUGCGUCCAAUUAGCUAGUUGGUGAGGUAACGGCUCACCAAGGCAAUGAUUGGUAGGGGAACUGAGAGGUCAAUCCCCCACACUGGCACUGAGAUACGGGCCAGACUCCUACGGGAGGCAGCAGUAAGGAAUAUUGGACAAUGGACGCAAGUCUGAUCCAGCCAUGCCGCGUGAAGGAUUAAGGUCCUCUGGAUUGUAAACUUCUUUUAUAAGGGACGAAAAAAGGCUUUUCUAAGUCGUCUGACGGUACCUUAUGAAUAAGCACCGGCUAACUCCGUGCCAGCCGCCGCAGUAAGAC